CGGUUGAACAUCGGAGUCUUUGAACGCAAGUUGCGCCCGAUGCCAUUAGGUUGAGGGCACGUCUGCCUGAGUGUCACAUAUCGAAGCCUCCUUGACUAUUUUGCAGGGUGGAUGUUGGCCUCCCGUGAGCUCUUUUGUCUCAUGGUUGGUUGAAAAUUGAGACCUUGGUAGGGUGUGCCAUGAUAGAUGGUGGUUGUGUGACCCACGAGACCAAUCAUGCGCUUCUCUAUUGAAUUUGGCCUCUUUUACCCAUAUGCGUUUCUAAACGCUCGUGAUGAGACCUCAGGUCAGGCGGGACUACCCGCUGAAUUUAAGCAUAUCAAUAAGCGGAGGAAAAGAAACUAACAAGGAUUCCCUUAGUAACGGCGAGCGAACCGGGAUAAGCCCACCAUGAGAAUCGGUCGCCCUCGGCGUUCGAAUUGUAGUUGAAAAAAACCGUCAAAGGGG
rnacentral:rRNA from 1 species